CCAGGCGAGGGUCCCUCUCCUCAUCCCGGCUGAGUCCGUACGUGAGCCUGUGUGUGCCACGGUUUGAUCAACAAGCGCUUGGCCAUCUUUGCUUCUAAUCGCAGGACCACGCCGAGCUCCCCAAUGAAUUAUGCAGUCCCUGUUUGCGCUUUCCAAGCCAGCUCCAUUAUCUCGCCGGGCACACCUGGCCUCUAUGAGAUAGAUUUCCCUUCAUCGAAGUGCGCAGGCAAUGGCUGGAGACAGAGCGAGUAUUAAAUCAGAGCGGAGGUUCUGACAGCCCUGCGAGCGUUUCCCCUGGUCGCCUCUGCGACAAAGCGGGAGGCCGACAUAAUGCCAGGUUCUGCUGGCAUUUCAUCCUCCAAGAAGAGGAGCAGGAAGCUGAGCGCUCGGCAGCUGAGAACACACAGAUUUGGAAGCAGCCGGCCCGACCAGAUGGAGGAACGAUUACUGACACCGAAAGUUACCGUCUUUUAAAAAUCUUGGCACUUCACACAAAGGGGAGGGGGAUAAGAAGGAUAAAAAGCACAUGGAAACGGGUUGGUUUUGGUCUCUGGAGAGCUUUGUUGUUUCAUUUUCCCCAAGUAAAAACUGGGAAAGAGUUAACUCGUCCCCAGAUAAAAAGGAGGGGAUAGGAAUAAUGUGAUGGCAGCCGGGCCAAAGCAGAAGUUGGCUGAUUCUUUUUAAAAACUAUUUUGGUAUUUUUUUCCCCUGAAAGCAAAAACUAAUGUACUUAGGCAUUGUCAUGUUCUGAGAUUUAUUCAGAGGUUUACCAUUUUCUUCCUACGAGACUGAAAUAAGUAUCUUGCUUACAGGCAACUAAGAGUAGUGGCUUGAGUGCUGGACUAUGAUUCUGGAGACCAAGGUUCAAAUCCCUGAACCGUCAUGGAAACCUCUUUGAAGAGAGAAAAAGAGAUAUACGAGGGUUGAAUGAAAAGUAAUGCCUCCACCUUCGUAACUCCUCAACAGAUGGCAGUCCUGGUCUGCUGCAGGUCCUGGCUUGUUCAGUAGACUCUCCUCUAUGGUUCCAUUUGGUGGGAGGCCGUAGCAUUGAACGGUUGUGUUGUUAAAGUGCAAAAUAGGGAACCCUGCGCAGAUGGUCGGUCAAUGCGACUUAAGUAAUGUGCAGUCAUUGAACUCUUGACUUUAGAAGGUGUCACCCCAAAGGAGAUCCAUCAGAGAAUGCAAGCUGUUUAUGGGGAUUGUGUUGAUGUGAAUACUGUGCGUCGUUGGGCGAGUAAGUUUAAAGAUGUUGAGGUGGGAACAUCUGACUUGUGUGACAAACAAAGGGUUGGAUGUCUUGUGACAGCAACCACUGAGUUUCACAAGUAAAAGGUUGACAGAUUGAUUCAGGAUGAUCGUUGUAUCACUCAGAGAGAAAUUUCAAGCAUAAUCAGCUUUCACAAGAAUGUGUGGGUCACAUUAUUGUGUUGCUUGGCUAUCGGAAGAUCUGUGCACGAUGGGUCCUGUGAGACGCCAGUUGUGGAAACAGAGUGUCGACUUUUUCCAUGGCGGCUUCAGAAAACUUGUUCAUCAUUGGCAGAAAUGCAUCCAAUUGUCUGGUGAUGAUGUGGAAAAGUGAAUAAUGGAAGUUAAAGAGCACAUUCUAAGGAUUAUUUCUGCGCUUGAUUUAUUAAAAUAUUCCCAUCCAAACCCAAGUAACGAAGGUGGAGGCAUUACUUUUCAUACAACCCUCCUAUAAAUCAUUAUCAUCAUUGUUGUCUUCUGAUUGGGGAAGCCUUGGACAAGUCCCACUCUCUCAGCCUCAGAGGAAGGCAAUGUCAAACCUGGUCUGAACAAACCUUGCCAAGGAAACCCUAGGAGAGAGUCCACACAAACCAGAGUCAGCCUGAAAGUACACAGUGACAGCAACAAGUUGUGUACAUCUUUCCAGGCAAAAAUCUAUCUUAGGCUGCAAACGUACCUAAUGCAUUCAAGGAAAGACAUAAACGAGAUAGUUUUGUUAUUGAGGAAUGAUAAGAGUUUGAACCAAUUAUGGUGCCUUUGUGUUGAAAGCACACAAUCAUAAAAGUAACAAGUAUUAGAAGCCAAAUUACAAGGAGCGAGGUUUUGGUAAAUUCAAGUCAUCUAUAAUAUGCAAUUUAAUGCAGUUUGACUUUAAAUGCCAUGCUGCAGAAUCCCGGAAGUCGUAGUUUGUAGCACUCUUUGGCAGAGAAGGCUAAAGAUCUUGUAAUGCUACAACUUACAAGAUUUCAUAGCAUUGAGCCAUGGCAGUUCAAGUGGUAGCAAACUGCAUUGAUUGUACCGUAUAGAUGCACCCAGAGAUGCUUUUACCUUAAACCUGUAAUACUCAAAUGUAAAGGGACAGGUCCAGAACUGUGUUUCAGACAAAGCUCUACCUGCAAAAGUCAGAGAUAGGGAUAUAUCUAGUUAGUCACCAAUAAUGCAAGUGUUUUUCUUCUCUUCUAGCCGGAUGAAGGAUGAGUUCAGCCCAUGAAGUCUCAAGGCAAAAUGUUAUUAGCAGUUAUAAACAACAACAAUAACAAGAACGCAUAGUAUUUCUGAGGCUUUUGUCAUCAGGUGGCCACAGACAACUUCAGCUCUUGCCAUCUAAUGUUUUCCAAGAAGCAAAGAAUGGAGUAAAUAGAAUUGCUACCGUUUCAUUCUGCUCCUCUGCCACUUCACACACGAAUUAAAACCAAGGACUGUGAAUCAUGUCAAUUGUGUUGGGCGAAAUGAAAAGUCCUGGAGAUGCAGUACUCAUGCCAAGGACAAACAUCGUCAAAGGGAGCCAAAGAAGAAAAAGGGGAGAAUUUCUCUAUGCAAUUUCAACGUGAUUCAAAAGAUGGUGGUUGAAGUGAUAAUUACAGAGAUGCCACCAGGUAGAUGCAAGUCCUUGUGGACAGGUGUGAUUAAUGGUUUGGGGAUGAAGUGUUUUCGCUGCGUAAUGGGGACGAGAGCUGCCAAGGCAGUGUGCCAAGGAAUAAAAAAACACCCACAAAAAGGGGGCCAGAAAAUAAAAGCUCAAGAACAAAGUCAGGUAAUGGUGCAAAAAAAAAACAACCAAAAAAACCAAACAUACAGAACUGGAGAGUUGGAAGAUAAACCAAAGUUCAGCUCACUCAACUCUGUUAAUGAAGGAACAGGUGUAAAUCUAGAAGUAGAUUUCCGUGAAAAAAAAAUGCCAAUAUUUGGAAUGGAAAUAAUCUUAGAGAAGAAAACUGUUUAUUUUCUGAGACUUCUAUAUAUUUGCACAUCUAGAAAACAAAAUGGGGAUUUCCAAUGGAUUUAGGUUGGACAGUGAGAAGAAGAAAUGGAAACGUUGUGGUGCCAAUAUGGCACAGUUUGCAAAUCACCCACAAGCAUAUGGCACCACUUUAACUAUCAUGGCUCAAUGCUAUGGAAUCAGCAGAGUUGUAGUUUGCCAAGGUAUCAGCACCCUUUGGCAGAGAAGGCCAAAGACCUUGUAAAACUACAACCUCCAGAUUCCACAGCAUUGAAACAUGGUAAGUUAAAGUGGAAUCAAACUGCAUCCAUUCUACGGUGUGGAACAAGGAUUUGUUGUUGUUCGGUUUUUUCAAGUAAGUUUUGGCUUACAGUUGCCCAAAAGAGACUCUAAUAAAUCUUGGCAAGAUUUAUUUAGUGCGAGUCUGCCUUCACUUUCGUCUGAGGCUGAGAGAGUGUGAGUUACUCUGAAUCAUGGCAGAGUGGAGAUUCAAACCCCUCCCAGUUCUAACACUCAAAACACUACAUCUUGCUAUUAGCCUCAUGAUUUUGAUGGAUGGAAAUGAUUUUAAUUCUCAAUUAGAUAGUGGGACAACUCAAGAAAUAAUAUCCUGGAUAUAAAAGCCAGCAUAGUAGUAUUGGAUGAGGUCUCCAUGCGACAUGGCUUCAAAUCUUGGCUUGGUGAUGGAAGCCCACUGGGUGACUUUGGAUAAGUCACACUCUCUUUUUCAAAAGAAAUAAAGCUCUUAAUGCA